AUCAUUUUUUUUAGAUUAUGCAUAUAAGCGAUAUCAUAUGAUAUUUGUCUUUGGUGUAUGUUUAGUUUUUAAAGAAACUGCUAUUCCUUUUUCAAAACAGAUGUUCCAUUUAAUAUUCUCACCAACAAUGCAUGAGAGUUCCAGUUGCUCCACAUCCUAGCUUGCAUUUAGCGUUGUCAUCCUGACAAGUCGGUGUCACGACAAAGACAGACCUGGGGAUAUAUGCAGACAUUGGCACACACGGAUAAACCUAGGCAUGAGGAACAAAGGUGGAACAAGGUGGGAAAAAAAAAAUAAAGAAAAAGGAAACUUCAAGGAGAGCCAUGCGUUGAAGAGUGUGAAACCCAAGGCACCUCAGAGCCAUCAUCGUGAAUUUCAAUUAUCAUCAUGUAUUAACCCCUCAGAAGCCAGAGUUUGACCAUCUAAUAACCUUCCCUUUAUCUGCAACCUACCUGGAAUCCAGGAAGUCUGCAAGAAGCUGAAGUAAAUGUGACAUAGACUGUGCAUAUUUUAACCAUAGGGGAUGUCCUCAUUAAGAACUUAGUUGAUUUUUAUUUUACACACAAUUCUAACAAGUGGGUUUUCUGGGUUCCAAAGCCACAGCAAAUGGGAAGCAACAAUUCAGAAAGGGAGGAGGAAUGGGGUUAUAUGACAAUAAUUAAAAGUAACAGGGGACAGCACAACUGUAGAGGAGAAGACCAAAAAAACUGAGGGAAAAAAGACAUAAAAACUAAAAACUAAAUAAAAAGUGAAAGGAAGGAAGGACGAAAGGAAAGAAAGAAUGAAAGAAGUCUAGAGUUGUUAGUUGUGGACAAACUGUCUUGCAUGCCUUAGUAGCUCUUGAGGUCAUCAUUGUGUUUAUAGUGAGACGCUAUGCUUAAGAAGCCAAGGAAGUGCAUCACAUUAGAUUUCUAGCCUACAGGGUUAAGAUUUUUUUUAAAGUUUUGGUACUUAAGAAAUAAAUCUUCAGUUUUUUGGGGAAAAUGUCUAUUCAAGAUGGUUCUUAUAAAGGUUCUUAUAACCAUGGUUUUAUUGUAGUGUAGUUCUGUGGACGUGUUAGUUAAUAUAGAUUUCAGGUUGAAAAAAUAUCUGACAUACGAGCUUUUGCUGAGACUGCUUCAUUUCACAAGAUAUUUAAUUCUGGGUUUGAACGAAGUCAUUGGAAGUGACACUUUUCGUAUCUGAAUUGUCAUGAUGCUAUUCUUGACAAGGAAUGAGUUCUUGAAUAUUUAGAAUAUUGUAGGUGAUAAAAAUGUCCUUAAUAAAUACGUUAUAAAGUUUGGCUUUCACAUUUUUAACUUUAAUUUUCAUGCUUGUCUCUUAAAAGCAAAUAAUCUUUUUCUAGGCAUAAGGUGCCCCCAAAAGUUACUUGGUUGUCUGAACUGUAUGUCUUUACUUCCUCCAGAUGGGAAUGAGAAUGAAUAAAAUACUGUUUGAUCAGUUUGGAAAAUG